rnacentral:rRNA from 1 species
GGUUCGAUCAUGGCUCAGAUUGAACGCUGGCGGGAUGUUUACACAUGCAAGUCGAAACGGCACGGACUUCGGUCUGGUGGCGAGUGGCGAACGGGUGAGUAAUGUAUCGGAACGUGCCUAGUAACGGGGAUAACUACGCGAAAGCGUAGCUAAUAAUGCAUGUCAGCCCUUCGGGGGAAAGCGGGGGACCUUUCUGCCUCGCAGACUAUUAGAGCGGCCGAUACCGGAUUAGCUAGUUGGUGGGGUAACGGCUCACCAAGGCGACGAUCCGUAGCUGGUUUGAGAGGACGACCAGCCACACUGGGACUGAGACACGGCCCAGACUCCUACGGGAGGCAGUGGGGAAUUUUGGACAAUGGGGGAAACCCCUGAUCCAAUCCCGCGUGUGCGAUGGCUACCUCGGAGCCAAAGCACUUUUGGCAGGAAAGAAACGGCACGGGAUAAUACCCGUGCAACUGACGGUACUCUGCAGAAUAAGCACUGCGCGCAUGAAUUACGCCAGCAGCCGCGGUAAUACGUAGGGUGCAAGCGUUAAUCGGAAAUUAUCGGCGUAAGCGUGCGCAGGCGGUUCGAAAGAGUGAUGUGAAAUCCCAGAGCUUAAAUCUCCCCUUUGGAACUGCAUUUUUAACUACCGAGUCAGAGUGUGUCAGAGGGAGGUGGACCCGCGUGUAGCAGAAAUGCGUAGAUAUGCGGAGGAACACCGAUGGCGAAGGCAGCCUCCUGGGAUAACACUGACGCUCAUGCACGAAAAGCGGGAGCAAACAGGAUUAGAUACCCCGGUAGUCCAUUCAAACGAUGUCAACUAGCUGUUGGGGCCUCGGGCCUUGGUAGCGCAGCUAACGCGUGAAGUUGACCGCCUGGGGAGUACGGUCGCAAGAUUAAAACUCAAAGGAAUUGACGGGGACCCGCACAAGCGGUGAUGAUGUGGAUUAAUUCGAUGCAACGCGAAAAACCUUACCUACCCUUGAUAUCUUGGAAUCCCGAAGAUUUGGAAAGCGUCGCAAGAGAACCUGGAACACAGGUGCUGCAUGGCUGUCGUCAGCUCGUGUCGUAGAUGUUGGGUUAAGUCCCGCAACGAGCGCAACCCUUGUCAUUAGUUGCUACGAAAGGGCACUCUUAAUGAGACUUGCCAGACAAACCGAGGAAGGUGGGGAUGACGUCAAGUUCCUCAUGGCCCUUAUGGGUAGGGCUUCACGUCAUACAAUGGUCAACAGAGGGUCGCCAACCUGGCGAGGGGGAGCCAAUCCCAGAAACCCGAUCGUAGUCCGGAUCGCAGUCUGCAACUCGACUGCGUGAAGUCGGAAUCGCUAGUAAUCGCGGAUCAGCACAAGUCGCGGUGAAUACGUUCCCGGGUCUUGCAUACACACCGCCUGUCACACCAUGGGAGUGGGUUUAAUACAGAAGUAGUUAGCCUAACCGUAAGGAGGGCGAUUACCACGGUAGGAUUCAUGACUGGGGUGAAGUCGUAAUAAGGUAAUCCUCAU